UGGGAGGCUGGAGCGGGCGGAUCACUUGAGGCCAGGAGUUCAAGACCAGCCUGGCCAACGAGGGGAAACCCCGUCUCUACUAAAAAUGCAAAAAUCAAGUCAGGCGUGGUGGUGCAGCCUGUAAUCCCUCCCACGGAGGCUGAGGAAUGAGAAUCACUUGAACCUGGGAGGCAGAGGUUGCAGUGAGCUGAGAUUGUGCCA
rnacentral:lncRNA from 1 species